GGAUGAGUGGCGAACGGGUGAGUAAUACGUGAGUAACCUGCCCUUGACUCUGGGAUAAGCCUGGGAAACUGGGUCUAAUACUGGAUACGACAUGUCACCGCAUGGUGGUGUGUGGAAAGGGUUUUACUGGUUUUGGAUGGGCUCACGGCCUAUCAGCUUGUUGGUGGGGUAAUGGCUCACCAAGGCGACGACGGGUAGCCGGCCUGAGAGGGUGACCGGCCACACUGGGACUGAGACACGGCCCAGACUCC
rnacentral:rRNA from 1 species